UCCGCAGGCGGGCCAGUAGGUCGGGUGUGAAAGCCCGGGGCUCAACCCCGGAACUGCACUCGAAACCCCUGGCCUUGAGUACGGGAGAGGAAAGCGGAAUUCCUGGUGUAGAGGUGAAAUUCGUAGAUAUCAGGAGGAACACCAGCGGCGAAAGCGGCUUUCUGGCCCGAUACUGACGCUCAUGGACGAAAGCGUGGGGAGCAAACA
rnacentral:rRNA from 1 species